rnacentral:rRNA from 1 species
UACGAAGGUCCCGAGCGUUAUCCGGAUUUAUUGGGUUUAAAGGGUGCGUAGGCGGGUUAUUAAGUCAGUGGUGAAAGCCUUCAGCUUAACUGAAGAAUUGCCAUUGAUACUGAUGAUCUUGAGUAUGAUUGAGGUGGGCGGAAUGUGUCAUGUAGCGGUGAAAAUGCUUAGAUAUGACACAGAACACCGAUUGCGAAAGGCAGCUCACUAAGCCCAUAACUGACGCUGAUGCACGAAAGCGUGGGGGAGCAAACAGG